rnacentral:rRNA from 1 species
AUUGAACGCUGGCGGCAUGCUUUACACAUGCAAGUCGAACGGUAACAGGCCGCAAGGUGCUGACGAGUGGCGAACGGGUGAGUAAUGCAUCGGAACGUGCCCAGUCGUGGGGGAUAACGCAGCGAAAGCUGUGCUAAUACCGCAUACGAUCUCUGGAUGAAAGCGGGGGACCGAAAGGCCUCGCGCGAUUGGAGCGGCCGAUGGCAGAUUAGGUAGUUGGUGGGGUAAAGGCCCACCAAGCAAACGAUCUGUAGCUGGUCUGAGAGGACGACCAGCAACACUGGAACUGAGACACGGCCCAGACUCCUACGGGAGGCAGCAGUGGGGAAUUGUGGACAAUGGGCGCAAGCCUGAUCCAGCAAUGCCGCGUGCAGGAAGAAGGCCUUCGGGUUGUAAACUGCUUUUGUACGGAACGAAACGGUCCGGGUUAAUACCCUGGGCUAAUGACGGUACCGUAAGAAUAAGCACCGGCUAACUACGUGCCAGCCGCCGCAGUAACAC